rnacentral:rRNA from 1 species
GCGCAGCUUACACAUGCAGUCGAGCGGUAACAGGGGGUGCUUGCACCCCGCUGACGAGCGGCGGACGGGUGAGUAAUGCAUAGGAAUCUGCCCAGUAGUGGGGGAUAGCCCGGGGAAACCCGGAUUAAUACCGCAUACGUCCUUCGGGGGAAAGCAGGGGAUCUUCGGACCUUGCGCUAUUGGAUGAGCCUAUGUCGGAUUAGCUAGUUGGUGGGGUAAAGGCCUACCAAGGCGACGAUCCGUAGCUGGUCUGAGAGGAUGAUCAGCCACAUCGGGACUGAGACACGGCCCGAACUCCUACGGGAGGCAGCAGUGGGGAAUAUUGGACAAUGGGGGCAACCCUGAUCCAGCCAUGCCGCGUGUGUGAAGAAGGCUUUCGGGUUGUAAAGCACUUUCAGUGAGGAGGAAAACCUUCUGGUUAAUACCCAUGAGGCUUGACGUUACUCACAGAAGAAGCACCGGCUAACUCCGUGCCAGCAGCCGCGGUAAUACGGAGGGUGCAAGCGUUAAUCGGAAUUACUGGGCGUAAAGCGCGCGUAGGUGGUUUGAUAAGCGAGAUGUGAAAGCCCCGGGCUUAACCUGGGAACGGCAUUUCGAACUGUCA